UCCGGUUUGGCACCGGCAGUCUCCCUAGAGUCCCCGGCAUUACCCGCUGGCAACUAAGGGCAGGGGUUGCGCUCGUUGCGGCACUUAAGCCAACACCUCACGGCACGAGCUGACGACAGCCAUGCAGCACCUGUGCUGGCCCCUUACGGACACGGGCUUACACCCGCUUUAACCAGCAUGUCAAGCCUAGGUAAGGUUCUUCGCGUCGCAUCGAAUUAAGCCACAUGCUCCGCCGCUUGUGCGGGUCCCCGUCAAUUCCUUUGAGUUUUAGCCUUGCGGCCGUACUCCCCAGGCGGGGUGCUUAAUGCGUUGGCUGCGGCACCGCGGGGGUCAAUACCCACAGCACCUAGCACUCAUCGUUUACGGCGUGGACUAC
rnacentral:misc_RNA from 1 species